CCCGCAGGAAGGCUGGUGCGCGCCAAGCUGCGGGAGGCGGAGCGGCGGCUGCGCUCGCCCUCUGAGGUCGAGGGCGCCAUGGCGGCGGAGGACGGGAGCUGGACAGAAGUUGGUAUUACAGGCUCGUAGCACCGGAGGUUUCUGAUGGAGCAGACAGCUUGAGGAAGGCCGGCCUUGCUGAACACAUUGGACAGAUCGGGUUUGGACCCCUCCCCCGCAGGUGACUGUGCACUGCAGGAAAGAGAAGAGGAAGAAGUCAAACACUCUGCUGAGAUCCUCCUGAGUACACAGUAUAUAUACCUUUACCUGGCCCCUGUCAUUAAUGGUGAGGUGGGCAGCACCAGAGUCCUCUGAAGAGCUGUGUGACAACAUCUGUUGGUUGGAAUGCUGGAAGGACCAGAACACAGCUUUGGGUUCCUGAGGACAUAAUGCUGUCUCGGACUUAGCAUCACAUACCAGUCCUAGCCAAAGUUUCACCCAAGUCUUCUGAAAAGAAGGGUGCCUCUAGCAUCUGACUUCGGACACACCAGGGUCUGUUAAUCAUGUGAAGGCAUUGCUAAGUCAGGGCGAGGAGAGAAUUCCACAGCUGGCUUCCCCGCAUCCUCCUCUUGGCUGGAUUUGGUCUCUGAAAAUGGAAAGCAAAUCAAACCUCUCUUCUUCCCAAGGAACUAUUCUCUCCCUGGAAUACCAGAAAGCUAUUGGAAAUGUUCUCAAAGAGCACUGGGUAUAUGAAAAACUUCAUAAUGUAUGAUGAAGUGAAACAGAGUGUACAGAUGUCUAUAACAUGAUUUCAGCAAAGAGGAAUAGAAAACGAUACUCAUGUCAUGACUCUGAGUCUGUCAAACAUGUUGGCUUCCAUAUGCCUAGGGAAAAAACAAAAUGAUACAGAUCAAGAUAUUAACACUGUCUAUUGCAGAUUUAAAAAUCUAGGGGGUUUACCUUUCUUCUUUAUAGUUCAUUGCCGUUAAAAUGUGUAUUAGAAAAUGUGUUACCUUUUAAUUAUUUCAUAUAUGUAUACUUAAAAAGUAUUUUUUCAUAUUUUGUGAAUUGCAUGGGCAUCUAUAGAUAAGGCCUUUCGGAUGUAAGAAUUUCUUCCUUUUCUGUAUCUUUGCUCUGUCUGUCUCUGAUUCUAAGAAGCCUUAUUAUGCUCAGUGGGACAGAAGCAGUAGAAAGGCACGUGCUCUGAAUAACGGGAAACUAGAGACCCACAUUCAUGCUUUGGUUUCAGGAACUACUUUAUGGGCACGUAUGCUUCCUCCCAAAUGGACAAGUGUGACAAUUGUUUAACCCCCAAAUAUGUGACAUUGUUGACAUCUAAAUAAAAUGCCUGCCUUCUGCUCACCGAGUAGAUGGUGGCUGUUGUUCCUUUGUUGCAA